CUUGUUUGGAGCUUGGACACGUUCAAAGGGCAUGGAGGUACCAUCUUCAGCCCAAUUUUCACCUUCUCCUCGUGAUGGAAUUAAAUCAUCCGAACCUGGGAUCUAAAGGGCGAGAUUGGGAUGUAGCGAUGGAAGAAUCCAUGACCUCAAUCGGGAUUGAUUGCAUAGAAGCAGAUGGGUUUGCUUCAACUUGGACGACAUGGAGGCUAGCUCAUACCAGGCCUCAACGCCAGAGGCACCUUGGUGCUUGAACUUUUGCAUUGAAAAUGGACAAUAAUCGGCUGAAUUUACAUGGCUGGUUGAAUUCUUUUUUAUUUCUUUGAUGAGCAUAAAAGAUAAUCUAUACUUCAUAAUACUUAGCAACUGACGUUUUAAACAGACUAUAGAGGCAGAGAAAUUUAGAUAUAAUACUUUUAAGAUUAUUUAGAUCAAAAUAUUUUGCAGAAAGUUUUUAUUACUUCCUUGCUUCCCAAAAACAUGCUUUACAGAAAGCAAUGAAAAUAUUCUGGCAAAAAAAUAUUCAAAUUU